rnacentral:rRNA from 1 species
GACGAACGCUGGCGGCGUGCUUAACACAUGCAAGUCGAACGGAAAGGCCCUGCUUUUGUGGGGUGCUCGAGUGGCGAACGGGUGAGUAACACGUGAGUAACCUGCCCUUGACUUUGGGAUAACUUCAGGAAACUGGGGCUAAUACCGGAUAGGAGCUCCUGCUGCAUGGUGGGGGUUGGAAAGUUUCGGCGGUAGGGGAUGGACUCGCGGCUUAUCAGCUUGUUGGUGGGGUAGUGGCUUACCAAGGCUUUGACGGGUAGCCGGCCUGAGAGGGUGACCGGGCACCUUGGGCCUGAGAUACGGAGCAGACUGCAAUGGGGGGCAGCAGUGGGAAAUAUUGCACAAUGGGCGGAAGCCUGAUGCAGCAACGCCGGGUGCGGGAUGACGGCCUUCGGGUUGUGAACCGCUUUAGCCUGUGACGCAGCGGGAGUGACGGUAAUGGGUAAAGAAGCACCGGCUAACUACGUG